UGUUUGGAGCACAGAGAGAGAGCUGCUUUUUCCUGGAGGAAACGAAGUGAAUUUAGAGGAGAAACAAACUAAAGCAUCGAUCCAACAUCACUACCAACGUUUGUAUCGGUACUAUUGAUACUUGGAUCGAUCCGCGCACCCUGAUCUCCUGGAUCUGACCUGAGAACAGCGUUAAUCUCUGUCUGUGGGCUCAGCUAAAGCUGAUUAUCAGGAGGAGGAGAGUCUGACGGAGCAGCAGAGGAACAUUUUCAGCCUCUACAGAGGAAACAAUGAGUUCAACACAACAGGACCAACAAGGAGCGAGAAGUCAGCACUCUCAGGAGGCUGACAAACCUCACAGAAGGAAAGGAGGAAAAAAAUACACCUGUGAUCAGUGUGGGAAGGAUUUUACUAAUAAGGGUUCAUUCAAAAAUCAUCAAGUCAUCCACACUGGAGAGAAGCCGUUCAGCUGUGACUUGUGUGGAAAGUCUUUUACCCGGGCUGGAAGCUUAAAAAGACACCAACUCAUCCACAGUGGAGAGAAGCCGUACAGCUGUGAUCAGUGUGGCAGAGCUUUCACUCAGAGUAGCCACUUAAAGAAUCAUCAAGUUACCCACUCUGAAAUUAAGGCAUACAGCUGUGACUAUUGUGGAAAAACUUUCAGCCACAUAGAGAGCAGAAAUACACACCUACGCAUUCACACUGGACAUGAUGUGUACAGCUGUGAUCAGUGUGGCAAAAAGUUUGGAACAGACGCACAGUUACAAUCCCACAUGUUUACCCACACUGAGGAGAG